rnacentral:lncRNA from 10 species
AGAAUAUCCACCAAAUGGUAAUUGCUCUUCCUUUCAGAGCCUUUGACCAUGACUUCCCAAUGCCUAGAAUGCUUCUAUCCUUGUCUUGCCUGUGGAAAUGCUGUUCAUUCAUGUGGCCCCAAGGACAAUGUCCUGUCUUCACAAUCCUGGUUUGAUUUCCAAGUGUUACAUAAGCUCCAUAUAGUCAGUCUUGUAUCAUUCACCAUUGUGUCUCCAGGACCCUGAAUUGCAUCUGACGUGUAGUAAAGAUUGGAUGAACAAGUUCCCAAGAAAAUGCAUUAAAAGUGAUUGUGAACUACAGAUGGAAACACACCUCUUUGACCUUUGACAUGUAUCUGUGCCUUGCCAGCUACAGUACUGGGAACUUUCAGGAAAUUAUUCUCUCUUAUACAGAAGUUGGCACAACUUCCAAGUUCAAAGAAACACAGGAUUUUACAUUCAGGAACAUCUGCUUUAAUUUGUGCUUGAAAUAAAGUGUGAAUGUAAACAUCUUUCAAUGAUCUUUCUCUUCUAGGCAUUUCUACAGCACUUAGUGUGGGUCACAAAAUUAACAUAACAUUAUAGAAUGUUUUGCACUAAAGGAUGUUGUCUCACAAUUAAAUUUUAAUGAUGUCUGAAGAGCACCAUAAACAAUACGUGCUAUAGAAAUUCAAAGAAGAAAUUUGGAUUACUUGGGUAACCUAUAAAUAAGCUACAUGGAGAAAGGUAGAUAUGAAACCUGCUAUUGAGAGAUGAGGAUGGAUUGGAUAGUGGCAAGAAAUUUCAGUAAAGGCAAUGACAAUAGCAAAGGUGUAAACAGAGAAAGAGCAAAGCAAGUUCAGAAAUUCACAAGGAAAUAUGUUAAUGAAGUGUGGUGAUGGGACUCAUAAAGAGAAACAUUGACCAAGGCAGGUUCAGAUUAGUGUUGAAUUCCAAGUUGAAUUACAAAAUUUCCUGUAGUAAAUAAACAUGUUUUGAGUAAGUAACAAAAUGAAAAAAAUGUGUAUUAGAAAGAAAGUUUAAUCAAGCAAAGGUAUGAAGCAUGCAGGUCUAGUUACUAAUGUCAAUAUUAUAAUGCUGGAUCUUAAUAAAUGAUUGCUGAAUUUCAAGUAAAUGAAUAUACAGUGAUUCGUAUAAUUUGCAGGAAAAGAAAUUAGUUUCUGAAGUCAAUUAACUCUUCUUCAAUUUGUUUACAUGUUUCACAAUUUUCCAAAAGGUGGUAGCAAUUGACAGAAAGUCAUCAACAGACAGAGGAAAUGAAUGUAGAUGUAGGAUAGAUGCACUUGUCUGAACAUGGCUCUAGGUGGGACUCUGCAGCAUUUUUCUUUCUAGAUACGUCUCUGGAUUCCUGUCACUUUCAAACGUAUCUCUGUCUUUCUAGUGUGAGAAUAUCUAAUUACCAGUGGAGGUAAGUGGAGAAACUCCUUUUGUCAUUCUGUGUUCUGGUGGCUCCUCCUGACUGUUAUAGCCAGACACCUACCCAUAAGGUUUCAAGUAUUUGUUUAUAACCUAACACAUUCUUUAUUCAUUUUUUAAAAAUUGACAAAUAAAAUUUUGUAUAUGUUUAUUGUGUAAGCAUAUUGUUUUGAAAUAUGUACACAUUGUGAAAUGGCUAAAUGGAGCUAAUUAACAUAUGUGUUAUCUUCCACACUUAUUUUUGUGCUGAGAACACUCGCAUGAUCUUACUUACGUGCAGAGUGUUAAAAAGUUGAACUCCUAGAAAUAUGGAGUAAAAAGGUGGUUGCCAGAGACUGGGAGAAGGGAAGAAUGAUUGAGGAGAUGUUUGUCAAAAGAUAAAAUAUUUGAGUUAGAUAGGGGGAGUAAUUCAAC